rnacentral:lncRNA from 1 species
AAAGAAGACACAGAAGCACCAUGGGCAAACCAUGGAACAAGAACUGGAAUGAAUAUCUAUUCCACUACCUGAACUAAAGACUGCAGACGGAGAAAGGGAAGACAGGGGUUUAACUGGCAAUUCAAAGUGAGGUGAUCAGCCUUCUGUUACAGAGUUAACUGUGUGUGAAAGAAUGUAAGAUUCAUGUAUACAUCUGACAGUGACAGCUGUAUGGCCACAGCUUCACAUGUAAGAGAAACCCAU